rfam:Corchorus capsularis cultivar CVL-1 contig10860, whole genome shotgun sequence.
UGGCCUGUGAGGAUAGCAAUCAUAAAAAACACCAUCUUUCGGGACUGAAUGGCUUUUCAAGCCUUGCUGUCAUUCUGCAAUUCUGAGGCCC